rnacentral:rRNA from 1 species
CUUACUCAUGCAGUCAACUUGAAUUUGGGUUUUUUAACUUAGAUUUGGGUGGCGGACGGGUGAGUAACGCGUAAAGAACUUGCCUCACAGCUAGGGACAACAUUUGGAAACGAAUGCUAAUACCUGAUAUUAUGAUUUUAAGGCAUCUUAGAAUUAUGAAAGCUAUACGCGCUGUGAGAGAGCUUUGCGUCCCAUUAGCUAGUUGGAGAGGUAACGGCUCACCAAGGCGAUGAUGGGUAGCCGGCCUGAGAGGGUGAACGGCCACAAGGGGACUGAGACACGGCCCUUACUCCUACGGGAGACAGCAGUGGGGAAUAUUGGACAAUGGACCAAGAGUCUGAUCCAGCAAUUCUGUGUGCACGAUGACGUUUUUCGGAAUGUAAAGUGCUUUCAGUUGGGAAGAAAAAAAUGACGGUACCAACAGAAGAAGUGACGGCUAAAUACGUGCCAGCAGCCGCGGUAAUACGUAUGUCACGAGCGUUAUCCGGAUUUAUUGGGCGUAAAGCGCGUCUAGGUGGUUAUGUAAGUCUGAUGUGAAAAUGCAGGGCUCAACUCUGUAUUGCGUUGGAAACUGUGUAACUAGAGUACUGGAGAGGUAAGCGGAACUACAAGUGUAGAGGUGAAAUUCGUAGAUAUUUGUAGGAAUGCCGAUGGGGAAGCCAGCUUACUGGACAGAUACUGACGCUGAGGCGCGAAAGCGUGGGUAGCAAACAGGAUUAGAUACCCUGGUAGUCCACGCCGUAAACGAUGAUUACUAGGUGUUGGGGGUCGAACCUCAGCGCCCAAGCAAACGCGAUAAGUAAUCCGCCUGGGGAGUACGUACGCAAGUAUGAAACUCAAAGGAAUUGACGGGGACCCGCACAAGCGGUGGAGCAUGUGGUUUAAUUCGACGCAACGCGAGGAACCCUUACCAGCGUUUGACAUCUUAG